rnacentral:rRNA from 1 species
AAUCAACGCUGGCGGCGUGCCUCAGACAUGCAAGUCGAACGCGAAAGUUUCCUUCGGGAGACAAGUAGAGUGGCGCACGGGUGAGUAACACGUAGGUAAUCUACCUUUGGAUGGGGAAUAACAACCGGAAACGGUUGCUAAUACCGCAUAAUGCAGCGGCACCUAAUGGUGACAGUUGUUAAAGCGGGGGAUCGAAAGACCUCGCGUCUAAAGAGGAGCCUGCGGCGGAUUAGCUAGNGGUAAGGUAAUGGCUUACCAAGGCUACGAUCCGUAACCGGCCUGAGAGGGCGGUCGGUCACACUGACACUGACAUACGGGUCAGACUCCUACGGGAGGCAGCAGUCGGGAAUUUUGGGCAAUGGGCGAAAGCCUGACCCAGCAGCGCCGCGUGAAGGAUGAAAUCCCUCGGGAUGUAAACUUCGCAAGAACGGGAAGAAUAAGUAGGGGACAAUACCCCCUAUGAUGACGGUACCGUUAGUAAGCUCCGGCUAACUCCGUGCCAGCAGCCGCGGUAAC